rnacentral:rRNA from 1 species
ACCUACGGGGGGCAGCAGUAGGGAAUCUUCCACAAUGGGCGAAAGCCUGAUGGAGCAAAGCCGCGUGAGGGAAGAAGGUACAGCGUAUCGUAAACCUCUUUUGUCAGGGAACAAAGGCGGGGACUAGUCCCCGGAUGAGGGUACCUGAAGAAAAAGCAUCGGCUAACUCCGUGCCAGCAGCCGCGGUAAUACGGAGGAUGCGAGCGUUAUCCGGAUUUAUUGGGUUUAAAGGGUGCGCAGGCGGCCUGUUAAGUCAGCGGUAAAAGCCCGGGGCUCAACCCCGGCGAGCCGUUGAAACUGGCGGG